AAGUCGAGGGGCAGCAUGAACUUAGCUUGCUAAGUUUGAUGGCGACCGGCGCACGGGUGAGUAACACGUAUCCAACCUGCCGAUGACUCGGGGAUAGCCUUUCGAAAGAAAGAUUAAUACCCGAUGGCAUAGUUCUUCCGCAUGGGAUAAUUAUUAAAGAAUUUCGGUUGUCGAUGGGGAUGCGUUCCAUUAGGCAGUAGGCGGGGUAACGGCCCACCUAGUCUUCGAUGGAUAGGGGUUCUGAGAGGAAGGUCCCCACAUUGGAACUGAGACACGGUCCAAACUCC
rnacentral:rRNA from 1 species